rnacentral:rRNA from 1 species
AUGGCACUCUGCCGUGCCCGCUGCCAUACCAUCCAGGGCAUCAUGCGUGGGUGGCUCAGGAUCAGGCCAUCCUCUCCGCCAUCCAGUCCUCUCUUACGGAGGGGGUCUCGUCACUGGUCAUCUUCGCCUCUACAUCUCGGGACGCGUGGACGGCUCUUCACACCAGUUUUGCUUCGCAGUCUCAGGCGCGGGCUCAUGCCAUUCGCACUGCGCUUGGGGAGGUGA